UGCGAUGACGAUGAGAUUUUACAUAUGAUCUCGUUAAUCUGAUGGUUCUGUUCUACGUGAGGACAAUCUAUCUAUCCAUUCAUUUAUUAAGCUGAGC
rfam:Eucalyptus grandis cultivar BRASTZ1 unplaced genomic scaffold scaffold_7, whole genome shotgun sequence.